rnacentral:rRNA from 1 species
GACUCUCGGCAACGGAUAUCUCGGCUCUCGCAUCGAUGAAGAACGUAGCAAAAUGCGAUACCUGGUGUGUGAAUUGUAGAAUCCCGCGAACCAUCGAGUUUUUAAGCGCAAGUUGCGCCCGAGGCUUUCCGGCCGAGGGCACGUCUGCCUGGGAGUCA